AACGGCGAGUGAAGCGGCAACAGCUCAAAUUUGAAAUCUGGCCUUGUGCCCGAGUUGUAAUUUGUAGAGGAUGCUUUCGGCGCGGCGCCUUCCGAGUUCCCUGGAACGGGACGCCAUAGAGGGUGAGAGCCCCGUAUGGUCGGAUGCCAAACCACUGUAAAGCUCCCUCGACGAGUCGAGUAGUUUGGGAAUGCUGCUCAAAAUGGGAGGUAAAUUUCUUCUAAAGCUAAAUACCGGCCAGAGACCGAUAGCGAAAAAGUAGAGUGAUCGAAAGAUGAAAAGCACUUUGAAAAGAGGGUUAAACAGCACGUGAAAUUGUUGAAAGGGAAGCGCUUGUGACCAGACCUGCGCCCUGGGGAUCAUCCGGCGUUCUCGCCGGUGCACUCCGCUGGGCUGCAGGCCAGCAUCGGUUCUCCUAGGGGGAUAAAAGCUUCGGGAACGUGGCUCCUUAGGGAGUGUUAUAGCCCGUUGCAUAAUACCCUUGGGGGGACCGAGGUACGCGCUCCGCAAGGAUGCUGGCGUAAUGGUCAUCAGCGACCCGUCUUGAAACACGGACCAAGGAGUCAAGCAUUAGGGCGAGUGUUUGGGUGCAAAACCCGCACGCGAAAUGAAAGUGAACGUAGGUGAGAGCUUCGGCGCAUCAUCGACCGAUCCUGAUGUUCUCGGAUGGAUUUGAGUAAGAGCCUUACCGCUUGGACCCGAAAGAUGGUGAACUAUGCCUGUAUAGGGUGAAGCCAGAGGAAACUCUGGUGGAGGCUCGCAGCGGUUCUGACGUGCAAAUCGAUCGUCAAAUAUGGGCAUGGGGGCGAAAGUGAGUUCCGAAUUCUAAAUACCGGAAAACUAGACAUACGAUUGCUAACCAAUAUUUCCAGGACUAAUCGAACUAUCUAGUAGCUGGUUACCGCCGAAGUUUCCCUCAGGAUAGCAGUGUUGUUUUCAGUUUUAUGAGGUAAAGCGAAUGAUUAGGGACUCGGGGGCGCUAUUUUGCCUUCAUCCAUUCUCAAACUUUAAAUAUGUAAGAAGCCCUUGUUACUUUGUUGAACGUGGGCCUUCGAAUGCAGCAAC
rnacentral:rRNA from 1 species